rnacentral:lncRNA from 1 species
GAUAUGGGAACCUUGGAGCAGGUGGAGUCCGGCCUGGAGGGUACGGGACUGGCCCUGGGGGGUACGGGGCCGGCCCUGGAGGGUACGGGACUGGCCCUGGGGGGUACGGGGCCGGCCCUGGAGGGUACGGGACUGGCCCUGGGGGGUACGGCACCGGCCCUGGGGGGUACGGCACCGGCCCUGGGUAUGGCACCGGCCCUGGGGGGUACGGGACCGGCCCUGGGGGGUACGGCACUGGCCCUGGGGGAUACGGCACCGGCCCUGGAGGGUACGGAACCGGGUCAAGUGGCAGAGUACCUGAAGGAGCGGGCAGCCUUGGGAUUGGUGGAGCAGGGACUGGACCAGGAGGUUACGGUACUGGACCAGGUCUUGGAGGUGAAUAUGCACCGUUGAAUGCAAAAGAGCGGCUCAUCAUUUGGAAGCCUUUGGAAAGCCGUUGUUUGAUUUUCUUCAUCCUGCUUCUGAAGGCUCCGGGUAUGCCACUCCAGGUGGGGGAGCAGCUUCUGGCUCCAGGAAACCUUCCAAAAGUAGGUGGAUGACACAUUUCAGUGGAGGGUAUAAUUCUGCCGUUUGACGUCCAAAUUCAAGAAGUAAAUGCUUUUUCUUCAGGUUAUGGGGCAGCCGCUGCUGGAUCCAGACCAGUCGGUGCUGGCUUUGGUUCUGGGGUUGCUGGUAUUGGACCUGGUGGUGCUGGAUUUGGACCCGGUGGUGUCGGAACCAGACCAGGCGGUGCUGGGACUGGACCCGGUAGUGUUGGGUCUGCAGCAGGAGGUUUUGGAACAGGUGGCUAUGGGCCUGGAUCCACUGGACAAGGUGGAUACGGGCAGGGGGCUGCUGGUGUCGGACCCCAAGGUGCGGCAACAGGCGGUUUUGGCCCUGGCGGAGUGGGAGCCGGACCAGGCGGCUUUGGUCCUGGUGGGAUAGGCAUGGGGCCUGGAGGCUACCCUGUCGGUGGUCAAGGAUACGGGAAACGGAAGCCAUUCAAAUCAAACAAAUAUGGGUCUGGUAAUUUAGGACCUGGUGGUGCUGGACAAGGAGGUGCUGCCUUUGGGCAAGGAGGUGUUGGAACAGAUGGUGCUGGCUUUGGACCUGGCGGUGCUGGUGCCGGGACAGGUGGUGCUGGCUUUGGACCUGGUAGUGCAGGAACCGGUCCAGGCGGCUUUGGACCUGGUGGUGCAGGAACCGGACCAGGCGGCUUUGGACCUGGUGGUGCAGGAACCGGACCAGGCCGCUUUGGACCUGGUGGUGCUGGUGCCGGUACAGGUGGUGCUGGCUUUGGACAAGGAGGUGCGGGAACCGGACCCGGCAGAUUUGGACCUGGUGCUGGUGGUGCUGGUACAGGUGGCGCUGGACAAGGAGGUGCUGGCUUCGGACCUGGCGGUGCUGGACAAGGAGGUGCUGGACCCAGACCAGGCGGCUUUGGUCCUGGCGGUGCUGGCCAAGGAGGUGCUGGCUUCGGACCGGGUGGUGCUGGUGCUGGGACUGGUGGCUUCGGACCGGGUGGUGCUGGUGCCGGAGGUGGUGCUGGUACCGGGACAGGAGGUGCUGGACCAGGUGGUGCUGGACAAGGAGGUGCUGGGGGGGCUAGUUUUGGACCCGGGAGCACUCAAGGUCUCGGACCAAGAAAACCAUCUAAAUCAGGUUACGGAUCCUCAUCUCUGGGUGGAACCGGCUAUGGGCCAGGUGGGGCAGGUGCUAACGCUGGGGGAGUCGGUCAUGGUCCCGGAGGAGUCGGACCAGGUGGGUACCAACCUGCAGGAACUGGCACGGGAGGUUACGGGCCCGGAGGUGCUGGACAAGGCAGAUAUGGACCAGCAGGUGGGGCUGGUGGAUUUGGCCCUGGUGGACAGGGACUAGGAACAAGAAAAGCUCCUAAAUCGGGUUACGGUUCCUCAUCCGGUGGAACAGGCUUUGGACCAGGUAGCACCAUCCGCUGUAUUUACAUGUUAAACAACAGUUCAACAGAUCUGUUGAAGACAUCCAUUCAUCUGCUUACAUUUUCCUCAACAUGUCCAGCAGGUGGUGCCAUUGGAGGUGUUCCCAGUGCAGGAACAGCAGGUGGAGUGGGAGGAGGUGCAGGAGGUAAUCUUGGUAAGUUCUGGUUCUCUAAUGCAAGCCCAGUCUCAUUGUUAACCCUCAGCCCUGACUGAGGCCUUACAGACAUGAGGACAACAUUCUCUUCAGAAGCCAUGGCUUAUUAUUAGGGGGGUGGCCCAUGUUAUGUUGCUAUUAGAGCUGUCAAGCGAUUAAAAUAUUUAAUCGUGAUUAAUCGCAUUAACGUCAUAGUUAACUCGCGAUUAAUCGCAAAUUAUUUUUCUAUGCUAAAUAUCCCUUGAUUACUUUUUCCCAUAAUUCUUCUCAUUUUAAUUCUCUUAUCAACAUGGUGAAGUGCAUCGGCUUGCCUUGUGCAAUUGAUUUUUUAUUGAUAACAACAUUGGCAUAUACUGAUCAAAACAGGACGAUAUAAAAAAAGAUUCUAUAGUGCAAUUAAACGACUGCUUUGAACAAAUUUCAUUUGAACACAGCAGCCAGGCUACUGCUUCUUGAUUUUGAGCUAAAGAAAAAAAUAAAUAAAAAAAAGUUGUUUUUUUUAAAUAAAAGAAUUGCGGUAAUCGCGCGCUAAAAAAAUUAACGCUGUUAAAAUUGGUUUGCGUUAUCGCCGUUAAUAACGCGUUUAACUGACAGCUCUAGUUGCUAUGUAUUGUGGACAAUAUGCCGAGGAGAAGAUUCACUAAAAGAGCCCUCACUGGCUUUCCAGAAGUAGAUUUGUGUAUACCAGGCUGCAAGUCUUUACACGUAUUUAUUCUUUUAAAGGAUUUUUUGGUGGAGCUGGCUACAGACCAGGUGAGAGGCUCCAAACAUAUGCAAUAAGUGAACUUAUAAGCGGGGAACAGUGAUAUGUGUUCCUUUCAAAAGACUCGAUGCUAAACAUCAAGAGCAAACAACAUUAUUUGACUGUGGUUGUGAUUUGUGUUUGGUGAUCCAUGUGGGUUUUUGGAGUGUUUGUUUCUACACUCUAACACAGGGGUAUUCAACCACUGGGCCACGGACCGGUAACGGACUGCGGAGCAUUGGUCCCCGUGCCGCAGAGAUUUAGAAAUAAAGCCUACCAGAUUAUAUUUUUUGUAAUAAUUAAAAAAAUUAUAUAGUGGGACAUACGGGACCUCUGCGCCACAAAUAUUUCAAAUAUGCAUACAAGCAAUAAAAAGGUUGAGGAACCCUGCUCUAACACAGCUAUGUGUUCAGGUGGUGGAGCAGGAGGAGUAGGUGGAGCAGGAGGUGCUGGCCAGGCAGCAGGAGGAGUAGGUGGAGGCCAAGGCGUAGUACCGGGUCAGUUUGCAGUAUCAAUUGAUUGUUUCAACACUGCAUCCAUUUGUCUUAAGAGUUCCUCAAAAUCAAACAUAUAAUGGGAUGUAGUUAUGUAAUGUAAUACAUGCAUCAUUCCUAUAGGUGGCGUUGGUCCUGGAAGUGGGGGUGUGAAUCGUGGGAAUUAUCCAGGUUGGCUGUCUUUACGGACAGAGACACACACGCACACACGCGCACACACACACACACACACACACACACACACACACACACACACACACACACACACACACACACACACACACACACACACACAUAUGCACACACACACACACAUGUACAUACACAUAUGCACACACACACACACACACACGCACGCACGCCAUACGCGCGCGCACGUGCGCGCGCACACACACACACACACACAGGAAUGUAGAUAACACAAUGCCUUAAACAAUGAAUUUUUAGGUAAUUGUUGGUCUUGGCCAGAGUUCAUUCAUGUGCUCUGAUAACAGCAUUGUUGAUAUGGCACUGAGGAUGAGGAUAGGUUGUUUAUUGUUACUAAACUGAUCCUUCUCUUUCCUCUCAUUAUUCUCAAGGAUAUGCCUUGGCUGGACAAAAGAGUAAGACAACUUUCUGUGAUCUUUAGCAAACAUUCAACAACAUACAAAAAAAUAUAUAACAAAUAUAUCGAAAUACGUCUUCCCAAUCAUUGAGGUAAAUUCCCUCCCUGUAUUGUGUUUCCUCAGCCAAACAACAGAAGGCAGCCAAGUAUGCAGCCAUGCAGGCCUUCCUGGGCUCUGGGGGCUACAGAGGUAACUGUUGGUGCCUCCUCUUCGUCUAGAUAGAUCAUUCCUGCCACAUCAGACCCAUUGUGGUCAGAAAACACUUUCACACUUAUCAGAGCGAUGCAUUUUUCAACAUUGUAGAACUCUACUACAAACUAUAUCUCUGUUGUAUUAUACGUUUUCUGUGAUGCUAUGACUUUUAAAGAACUGUUCAUCUGUGGCCUGUUGACAUAUGGAGUGCCGCCAGUGAUUUGUCUUCUGGGUCCCCAGGAGCUGGAUGCCAGGGUAAAUACUGUGGCCGGAGGAGGAAGUGAGAGCUAAAGGAAGGACUUCCUCUGGACAGCGGUGCGAUGUUAUGAUGUCCGAAAGUACCUGAAGUACCAAAGAAACGACCAGUUUAAUUACAUCCACUGUUAAUUCAAGUCAAACACGUUAUUAAUUUAGUAUCUGUUGAGGGAAGUAUGCCAAAGUGUUUGACUCUAAUUAUAGUAUUUUCCUGAAUUGUUUUGAAGUUAAUUAUAUUGUUAUAAUUAGCUGAUCAUCUGUAUCAUUAAUCCAGAAGGGAAACAAUGUUGUCGAUUAAUUCCUCUAGGCAAUAUGCACUGUUUUGCGUGGCUAGCAUUGCUGUGUUAAUUGUGUUAAUCUAUAAUUGUUAAGAGAUUGCGAGAAAAAAAACUGUGUGUGUGUGUGUGUGUGUGUGUGUGUGUGUGUGUGUGUGUGUGUGUGUGUGUGUGUGUGUGUGUGUGUGUGUGUGUGUGUGUGUGUGCGCGUGUGUGUUGCUUAGACUUGUGACCAUUCUGAUCCCUAAAACCAGUCUGCUUCCAUCCAUCACUUGUUCUGUCAGACAGACCCACUGAUAAAUGCGUGUGUUGAUUCUAAUUGAGAUGUGUUUUGUUAUACUUUCCCAAAAUGUCCAAUUGCAGCCAUGAUAUGGUUCACCAUUUCACAGCAAACUCUCUAAUUUCUCUGAUUCUACAAUCUUCCCCACUGAGUGAAACAAACACAUCAUGACAAUAGCCAUUGUAGCUCAUAGGGAACAUUUGGUUGGAAACCCUUGGAGACAGAGGGCCUUUACAUUGUCUCACCGUCAACUAGGUCAUUAUGCGUUUGCUAUGAAUGCAAGCUAAGGAUUUCAUCUGCUGUAAAUUUGUUUUUAUUAAUGUUUUUUUUUCAUUUAAAAGAUGUAUUAGUGUGUUAAUGCAAUUUAACUUUAUCAAUCUAAAGAAAAGUGAGAUUUUGUUUGUUAAUUGUGUUUUAAUAUGAAUUUAUACUGAGAAAUGCCAUGAAUUUUUCUGACAUUUUAAAAAUAAAAAUGGAAAAAGAAAAGGUUUGUUCAGAC